UGAUUUCAAUCCAUUGGAUUUUUCAAUUUGGCCGCAAAUGAAGGCAUUAAUUCACAAAGGAAAAUGUAAUUCUCUUUCAGAAUUUUGAGUUAAAAUAGAAGAAACGAUGAUGAGAUUAAAAAUAAUAGAGAUUUUCGCCUAGAGGAGGAUGGUUUAAUUUCAAAGACAAAAUUGGAAAAUGAGUCGAUCCAUCUCGUCCCAAGGUUCUUGCUCUGAAUUCUCGCAGUUGCAGAUCACAAGGGGCCUAAUUUUAGUCCCUACGCAGAACGUGUAAUUUUCGCCUCAUUAAUUUUGACCGUUUUAAACCCAGCCCCGUUUCAGAGAACUGCAAUUAUGCCAGAGUUUGUCACAGAAUCAUUAAUAUUCUCCAUUGUUUUCAUUCGUAUGUAUCAUCAUUCAACCCUAUUGUCAAACAUUUCUGAAAUUCGUCAUGCAGUAACAUCUUCGCUCGUAUAGCUACAAAUUUUGCCCUUGAACUAUUCUCUAGCUAAAGUAACGUCUAGAGGGUUUUCCAAUAAGAGGUUUCAUUUUCAAUAGCUCGUUACCUGGGUAGAUGAAUCACAACUUCCUUUCAACGGAGAUUCGAAGGACAAUGGAAGGUCUGAGAACCCUUCGACUUGUGGUACCCAACGGCUUAGACACGAAGGUGGUCGCGAUGGUUCCAUGCAAGAGACAGAUGGGUUUUACGACAAGUGGGUUGAUUGACCUACGACAUACCACACUGGGGAAGAAUUGACGAAAAUGCAUUCUUUCAUACACAAAAGAACCGAUUUGUUUAUUUAUUUAGCAGGUUCAACCUCUGACAGAAAUUUCAUGACGUUUGACACGUUAGGUUAGGAAUUGUGACGUUUU